GUUAGACUAAUCAACAUGGUAAAUUAUUUGUAAUUUAAUCGUUUAUAUCAAAAGUUAUCAAUUUUUUUAACAUUCAUUUUGAAUUCUGCUUCAUCAAAUAUCCUUUAAAUACUGAAAAAAUGGUAGUAAACCCAAUACAAAAGGGUCAAAUCUCGUACUGUUGACAUGUGAAAGCAAAAUGGUAAAAUUUUUGGUCCUUUCUGACUGUUUGAGAUUUAAUUAACACAAUUGAAUAAUUGACUGUCAAUUAAAAGCUGUAUUAAUGUUGCAAAAUACCAAUCUUAAUGUUGAAGUCAAUAUUUUUGAUAGCCUCCUGUGGUUAACCUCUAUUCCUGUCAAUUUAUCAGGUCAACAUUUACAAAAUGGGUAAACAAAAAACGAAAGGUUUGCUAAAAUGGGUUGAUUUGGAGAUUAAAAUUAAACUCACUGGUUUGGUUUCAGCAAUGUUAGUUGUUGGAAUUGGAAUGGUUGAAGCGAGUUUCACACAAACACGUAGCAUACAAUCUUGAACCUUUUUCCACUAUUUGGUUGAUAAAUGCUUCUGAUUCCAAUUCGCUGUUCAAUAGAAGGUUAAAUUCUGCAGUCUUUGGUAUUUUCAAGCAGAGAGUAGCUUCAUCUUAACACUCAAUUGAAUCGGAGGGGAAAGCUAGAUCACCAAGUUCGCUGCAGUUAAUAAAAAUUGUUGCAACUUAUCUUUCUCUCAAUGGAUAUUUAAUAACUCGUUCAAUAUGGAAACUUUCAUCAAUUCAUUAUGAAUCGCUUUGGAAAGUAUGAAGAUUGUGACCAAUGAAGACAAAAUGAUGGCCAAUAAAGAAAUGUCCAAAAAAAAAUAAAGAAAUAUCAACCCGAAAUUUCUUGCAAGAAUUGAGUUAAAAGUAAGGAAAUGAUUGAUUUAAAAAAAGGUAAAAUUAACUUUUGCCCUUGACUGUAAAUAAAAUCCCAUUUGCCAGAUGAAUUUCAAAUUGAAUAGACGAAAAUGUAAAUUGGUUGAAAAGUUAAAUUGAAAUUUUACCAAAUAUUUGAAUUACUCUACUUGACCAGCUUUCAAAGUGAUCCAUUAAAGCAAACCUUGAAAUGGACAUUCUUGAUGAUUAACAUACAAGAAAGUAACUUUGAUGUCAAAUGGUACAGAAAGUGAAGUUGCAUUGAAAAAUCAUUUUGUUUUCAAACUAAUGCUAAAUACUGUUAUAAACCUACAAUGAUGGCAAUGAAGAGCAUAAAUGCAGAGGAAAAAGGUAAAAAAAUGAUUUCUUUGCUCUUCUUUCUUCUUCUUUGGACUGAUCACUGUUGGAUAUCAACCACAAAAUGAUGCUGUCUGACACUUAGUAAGUGAUGAGAGAUGCUUUUUUGGUUGCUGUUGAAAGCGUAAGCGUAUAAUAAUGGUUUCGAGUGAAACUAAUGAUAGUCCAUACAUUUAGAGUGAUGAGUGAUCUAUUCACAUUCAUACAAUAUAUACAUAUAUAUAUAUUUAUAUUUAUCUAAAUAUACAGAAGGCAAUGUUGAUAAUGAUGAGUAUGAUGAUGUUGAUGAAGUUGGUGAUGAUGAUUGCUUUAAAGGCGGGUCUCUUCCAUGUCAACCUCAAUUUUGUUUUUCACUUACAGCUCCUUAAUUUUAACUGCAUCAGUGUUGAUUUAGAUUUUUCCUCUUCUCUCUCUUCUUCUAGAUGAUGAUCGUAAAAAAUGCGAAGAUGAUAAUGAGGGAAAAGCACGUCAAUAUCAUGGAGAAGAAAGAAAUGGGAUGAGAGGAACCAUCAUUAUCAUCAUUUUACAUCUCCACACCUUAACCUUGUCUAUUUAUUUUGGCAGAAAACAUGUUCAACGAAAGUUGAAAUUGAAUGAAAAAUGAUGCCAGAAUAAUCACUCCCAAUAACCAACUCCAAAUGAGUUUUAUUGCGAUAAAAAAAGUAAAGAAAGGAAAAGGAGAAACAAAAUCAACAAAACAAGAUGAAUGGUGAAGAGGAAAGCAAAAUGUUAUAAAAAAUGAUGGUUAAGCUCAUCAUUUUCAAUAAUGAUAAUAUUAUUAAUAAAUAUUGGUUGACAUUGAUAUAUUGAAA